CUCCAAUGAUGACUUCUGUUUUGUGCCACGUGUCUGGGCCACUCAAUGUUCAUGAUGGACCUGAUGAAG